CGGAGCGUAGCGCAGCCUGGUAGCGCAUCUGCUUUGGGAGCAGGGGGUCGCGAGUUCGAAUCCCGCCGCUCCGACCA
rnacentral:tRNA from 1 species